UGUCUGUUUAGUUGUUGGGUGAGA
rnacentral:piRNA from 1 species